CAGUAGCCACGGGAAUACGAAGGGGGCUAGCGUUGCUCGGAAUCACUGGGCGUAAAGGGUGCGUAGGCGGGUCUUUAAGUCAGGGGUGAAAUCCUGGAGCUCAACUCCAGAACUGCCUUUGAUACUGAAUGUCUUGAGUCCGGGAGAGGUGAGUGGAACUGCGAGUGUAGAGGUGAAAUUCGUAGAUAUUCGCAAGAACACCAGUGGCGAAGGCGGCCCACUGGCCCGGAGCUGACGCUGAGACGCGAAAGCGUGGGGAGCAAACAGGAUUAGAUACCCCCGUAGUCCCUGUCUCUUAUAC
rnacentral:rRNA from 1 species